UCAAACUCUUCCUUUUGGUUGCUUUUUCCGAUCUUUUCUCUUUUUCUUGUUCAGCCCUGCGCUUAAGCUCUCCAAGAGCGCCAGCGGCACGAAGCCGGAAGGCUCUAAGAGAACCGCAAGGACCUCAACUCCUCCUCCUCAGUCUAGCCCGGUACCAUCUGGUACCGGCAACUCUUCUGCCUCCCCUCUGGGAGGCACCUCAAGUGCGGGGCGCGCGGCCCCUACACCUCCUGAACACCGCGCGGAGGAGGACCUCAUCUCCCCUCCAGAAAAACAAGAUACCGGCGCCAGCAACAUCGGUGCCGAUGCAGAAGCUGCCGGGCGGGCGGAACCUCUGGUUCCUCCCGUCCCGAAAAGAAAGAAGAAGAAGAGCUCGCACUCUUCCCCCUCCAAGGCCGCACCGGACUCUUCCGCGCCGGCAAGCUCUACCUUGGGGCAGGGCGUACCAUCGCCUCCCAAGACCUCGCCCGCGCCUCCGCCGGAAGCUCCGAAAGUCGAGCUAAGCGGGGCCACUCCAACGCCGCCGCCAGAAACCCUCAAGAUCACCAAGUUCCUCAAGCCGGAGGCUUUCAAAGGAAAGGCCACGGCUUCCGGCACUUCACCCGCCGGCCCGCAGUCCUUGGUGCUGCACGUCGGCCCCGCCGCGGCUGGAGAAAAGCCUUCCGGCAUCCUGGGCUGGAUCACCGAGCUGAAACGCGAAGGCCGCGAUCUGGGGCACUUGCUUCCAUACGCUGAGAAGUGGAAUGCUGCGGACGUGUCUGCAGCUACACGCGGCCUGGGGAAGGACCGGCUUCCGGCGCUAGACCCCUCUGGGCCCCGGUGCACGGAGGAGCACUUCAUCCGGCUGCGCCGCGCGGUGAAGGAGCUGGACAGCGCGUGGUAUGAUGCCACCAACAACAUGGUGGUAAGUUUCACCAAACUCUUUUCAAUUUUUCAAUUCAUGUCGGUCUCAUUCUUUCCGGAUCUUGUCUAUCUUCCCAGUCCCCGAGUUUCGUGUUGAGAGCAUAGCUCUUAGCGCGAAACUUAGGUAAAAACUCGAAAAACCGGCAUAGCCAGUCCCCGAGUUUCGGGUUAAGAACAUAGCUCUUAGCGCGAAACUUAGGUAGAAACUCAAAAAACCGGCAUAGCCAGUCCCCGAGUUUCGGGUUAAGAAUAUAGCUCUUAGCGCGAAGCUUAGUUAACACUCUUUCUUGAACAGAGCACGGCCGACGCCCGGAAGCACCGGGACCUUGCUGAAGCGCACAGCAAGUGCUAAGCUAUCCCGGAAGCUUCCAUCGAAGCCCUCAAGACUCAGCUCGCCGCACUCCAAGGUGAAAAAGAGCAGCUCAUCCGGGAGCACCGCGAGGCUCUGGACGCCCAGGAGACUUACUCCAAGGGGCUGAAGGACCAGCUGAUCCAGCUCGGGCUCAAGCACAAUGAGGCGAUGAAGGCCGCCCAAGCCGCCGCUGAGGCUAAGCUGAACGAAGCUCUGGAGGACGCCAACAACUCCACCGUGGUGCUGCGGGCGGAGCUAGAGGAGGGAGCCAAGGCGCGGAAAGCAGCCGAGGAUCAGGCCGCGCGCUUGGAGGGAGAGCAGAAGGAGUAUGACCAACUGGUCAUGCAGACCGACGCGCUUGCCCUCAGUAAGUUGUCUUCUUUCUUUUCCGGUUUUGCUUAUAAGCUUAUCUCUUCCGGUAGCAUGUACUUAUCUUUUUCUUUUGUCUUGUAAGGCUCUUUCCGGAUUCGCAGGCGUAUGCGGUGAAGAAGGUAGCAGAGCGCCGGAUCGCGCAAGCGUAUAAGAACCUGGAUGCGCCCUGGGACCCUUAUGACCACCUGGUCGCGCUGUCUGCUCGGGUCUCCCACAUGCGCGCGGUGGACCGGAACCUUGCCGACAUCCCCGAUGUGGCGAUCCAGCUCUUUAAGGUGCUUUGGCCUGAGGAGGAGGUGCCGGCUAACUUGUCGCUCACCCCCGAUCGCCUGAAAGGUGCCGGCCGGAGGAUCCGGGAGUGGCAAUGCUCAGCGGCUCGUGCCGGAGCGGAUACGGCGCUACGCGUCGCCUGCUCCUGGUACGAGGACUUGGACCUGGACGCCCUCCUUGGCGUGCGCAAAGAUGCUCCAACCGAUAUGGAUCCGGUCCUCACCGCGAAGCGGCAGGAUCGAGCCUACCGGAUCGCAGAGUACGCCCUGGUCCGCACCUUCAUCCCCCCUCCUCCCGACGUCAAAGACUACCUCAGAGACGAAGAAGGAGAGGAUGAGGAAGAUGAAGAUGCUGGAGCUGGUGAUGCGCCUCCGGAAGCUCCAGAGGCCGGUGUCGUUCCUCCCGAAGCUCCUCCUGCUUAAGUAUCUCCUGUAAUGUGUUUGCCCGUCCUGCUUACUUCAAAACAAUGCUCAUCAAAUUCUACCCCGGUAUACCGGGGUUUUAUGAUGUAAUAUAAAACUUAGCCGUUCUUUUGGUUGUGCUACAACAAUCUAUGCCGGUAUGUUAUACCGGUAGCCUAUUAACUUAUGUUUGUCUAUUGUCUUAGCAUUUUGCUCGUUGUAUUGCUUUUAUCUUGCACUGCAAAGAUUCCGGAAUUGUUUCCGCAUCCAAUUCAAUGCACACUUGGCUCUUUUGCUUUGGCUCUGCCUACCUUCUCUGGGCGUUUUGGCGUAUGAGCACAGAGUUCUUUUACCAAGCAAGCAUUUUCUUGAACUUAGAAAUAACUCGAAAUUUUCACAAAAAACCGGUACAACCGGGGUUAGUUAAAUUUUUCCGGAUUGUUCGUUCCCACUCUCUAUUUUCGCAGUUCACGUGCUUAAUCCCUACCGGUUUAUCUUGCUUGCCAUGAAGCCGGGUUGCGGACAGCAGCAGAGUCGAAGACUCCGGUAGGUUUAGCACGUUACUAAACCGGAAAGAAAAAAUGUUCAACAAGCAACCGGUAAACUGAAAAAAUAAACAUAUUGCAUGCAAUUUCAAUAGGGGUAGUCCCCGAGAUUCAUUCGAGGUCCCGACAUCUUUUAUUCAUAGCAAAUAAGGUACAAAAAGGAACUUCUUACACCACAACUUCAAGAGUAGAAAGGACGCAAUAGAGCUACGUUCCACGGACGCUUGGUCUCCUCUCCGGACCUGUCCGCCUUUCCUUUUUUCCAUUCCUGUGCAUCGAUCAGGUAAUAGGCAUCAUUGUGGAGAGCUUUGCUCACAAUGAAGGGUCCCUCCCAUGGGGGUGAAAGUUUAUGCCGGCCUUCAGUGCGCUGCACUAGGCGCAACACCAGAUCUCCUUCCCGAAAUACUCUCGUGUUAACCUUCCGGCUAUGAUAGCGUCUAAGGUUUUGCUGGUAAAUGGCUGUUCUUGCCAGUGCCAACUCUCUUGCUUCUUCUAGCAAGUCCACAUCGUUUUCUCUGGCCUCUUUUACCUCUUGCUCGGUAUAGAGCUGCACUCUUGGUGAGUCAUGGAGAAUGUCGGUUGGUAUGACCGCUUCUGC